rnacentral:lncRNA from 1 species
UGUCACGACUUCCACCGAAGGUGGCUCCUCUCCCUGUUUGGGCGGUGCUCGGCGGUUGUCGUCACCGGCCUACUAGCUGCCACCAAUCCAUUUUCCUUUUCGUUUGUGUCUGUCUGUUUUGUUUACACCUGUGUCCUAUUAGUUGAUUUCGGUGGGUUUAUUAACCUCCGCUGCCUGCUUGUCUUUGUGCUGGAUUGUUUUGCUGUGGUUACUUUGUUAGGGGUGCGUGUCUGCACCACAGGGUUUUCUUUCUCACGGCAAUUGUACCGGUUUGGUAUGUGUUUAGGAGUAGAGGUUUCUCCCCCGUGUGUAGCGUUUAUUUCCCUGUGUGUGGCGACCUCGUUUGGGCGUAUUCCCCCCCAUGUUGUUGAGUUGCGACUUCUGAAUAAACUAUUGUGCCACUGGGACUUUCUUGCUCUCCUGCUCCUGAUUCCUGCACCUCCCUCCUUCUCGUGGGCACGUAACAGACUGGAUAUGCUGCCGUGCCAAAAUACAGAGGCAAGUGUCAAAGCAAACAUUCAGAGGUACAGUAUGUAGUCUAAUCAGCAGUUAGAGUGGAUCUAAUUAUGUUGUAACCAUUGCACCAUAUUAUGUAAACAUUACCUAGGCGCUCUACCGGUUAGCAUAUGUGCCCUGUGUUUAUGACAAGGGGGUUAAGGAGAUCAUAGACAGUAAUUGUGUCACCUUACAUUGCAGAAUAGACUGAAUAAAAAUGAAAGGUGUUGUUGCAUUUUAAUUACUUAGGAUCUGUCUACUCGCUUUUUUUCAUAAUCAUAAUCUCUAAUGUCUGAUGUGUUGGCUAGCCAUGGUCUAUUUGCAUGAAAACAUAUCAUGCUUUUAAAGCCUUGCGCCUAUUUGGUUGCAUGUAGUCUGGUCUAUUGUGUAUUAGUAACCCCCAACUCAUGACUAUCCUUAAAAUAUAAUACAUUUUAGUCCCAUUGCCAUAAAAAAUAUAUUACAGAAUAUAAACUUGGUAUCACUUUAUACUUGUAUGUUAGGAUGGAUGUUUUUCUUUGUCAAUACACAUAACAAUAAUUUGCCAUAUAACCCAAUCUAUAUCAACUGUCAAUACCUUUCAUAUUUAGAAUUGUAUGUAUCGUGAACUCACAUUGUGUCACAAAUAACAAUGAGGUCAAUUUCCGCAUCCCACUCACAUGUUAAGUCCUCAAUAGAUUGGUCUUCAAAGGACCAAGCAACAGCAAGCUCCUCUGGCACCCGUGUGAAAUGAUGUUGUCUCCUAGAUAUUUUCACACCUUUUCCCAAUGUCUGUUGUGUUGGCUAGCUAUGGCUUAUUUGCAUGACAACAUUUCAGGCAACUGUACAGCCUUGUGUGGAAUACCUGAACCCAGGAAGCAGACUUUUAGCACAAUGACCAUAGCAAAAAAGUUUUACAGGUUAGUAAACAUGGUAUCACUUGACUUGUGUGUUAGGGUGGAAGAAUAUAAACUUGGUAUCACUUGACUUGUGUGUUAGGGUGGAAGAAUAUAAACUUGGUAUCACUUGACUUGUGUGUUAGGGUGGAAGAAUAUAAACUUGGUAUCACUUGACUUGUGUGUUAGGGUGGAAUAAUAUAAACUUGGUAUCACUUGACUUGUGUGUUAGGGUGGAAGAAUAUAAACUUGGUAUCACUUGACUUGUGUGUUAGGGUGGAAGAAUAUAAACUUGGUAUCACUUGACUUGUGUGUUAGGGUGGAAGUUUUUCUUUGUCAAUACACAUUUUUAUUUUAUUUAACCAGGCAAGUCAGUUAAGAACAAAUUCUUAUUUACAAUGAUGGCUUACCCCGGCCAAACACGGACACAUAACAAUAAUAGUUUGGCUUAUAUCAAUGACAAUUUGGGCAGGACACACGCUACAACUGCCACUGGUACUUGAAGAACUUCAAUUAAUGGAUAAACCCGAUUGACUUUAUUUUUAUUAUAAAAUGUAUCAAGCAUGUAAACUGCGUCUUAAGAACACUUGCUCUUUCCAAAACAUAGACUAACAAGGUGAAUCCAGGUGAAAGCUAUGAUCUGUUAUUGAUGUCACUUGUUAAAUCCACUUCAAUCAGUGUAGAUGAAGUAUCAAGAAUGGGCCACCACCCAAAGGACAUCCAGUCAACUUGACACAACUGUGGGAAGCAUUGGAGUCAACAUGGGCCAGCAUACCUGUGCAACAUUUGACACCUUGUAGAGUCCAUGGCCCAACAAAUUGAGGCUGUUCUGAGGGCAUAAGGGGUUGCAACUCAAUAGUAGGAAGGUGUUCCUAAUGUUUUGUACAUUCAGUGUACAUCACACUCAGAAUACAUUAUGUUUAACAUAAUAUAAAGUACCAUCUUUCCUGUUAAAACAUAAGCUACCUGUAUUUUGUGAAACAUCAACAUUUAGGCUGUGUUCCUGAAACAGUCCAAGCAGUGGGUUGCCAAAACAAUCUAUUAACCAAAACAAUUCCAAUUCAUGGAGAUACUGGUUGACCAGGUGUUGGAGCGGCGACAAGAUCUGACGGUGGUUUACAGGGAUCCUUCAUCCCACCUGCCCAAGCAUAAUCUUCCAGACAACAUUGCCACAAUGGAGAGACCUGAUAAUGAGGAUCUGGUCAGAAUAAAUUGUUCCAGGAUUAAUGUUGCCAUAAACAGACUUUUGGGAUGCACAUACAAUAGUUGCUUACAUUGUGCUGAAUGCUAGGUUGUUUUGUUUUCUAUAUGCAACCAAAUGUCUUCCCUAAACAAUGUGUUCAUUUUGUGCUCCAUUUUUUGUGACUACAAAUAUAUUAUAAAAACAACAAAAUACUUGCUUUAUUGAUCUAUUUGCAUGGAUAUUCUUUAUUUUUACAGUCACAGUACGAAACCUGACACACAUCACAGGCUGGGAGCAGCACAUACUGUACCAGUGUGAAAACCCCAUAUGGCGAUAUUUAGCUUUAAUGGCAUUUACCACGCAGGAUGGGAGAGGAAUUAUGACUGCUGGACGCAGUGUCUCACCACGGAUGAACGACUCCAAAACGAUGUGGUAUGAGACCAGUCUGAACUGUCUGGAAUGACAAUUACAGAUCGAAGGGUAAAGUGGAUUUGAUAAUCUGGAGCAACAGUCAUGUUUUUUGACAAUAUGAAAACAGGUUCUUAUUUUCUGUUCUUUGAUUUGAUUUUUUGAUUUUGUGUGUGUGUGUGUGUGUGUGUGUGUGUGUGUGUGCGUGCGUGCGUGCGUGCGUGCGUAGGCGGGGACAUGUGUGCUGGAGUCAGAGCAGAUACUCAGCCCUGCCACUUCCAUGCUGCCAGAUCGUAAUUUCUGCUCAUUCUGCCCACUCUGACUCUGGUCCCUGUCUCCAGUCCCUCGUCUCGUCACCCUGCUACACUGUCCUGGAUUCCCCACUCUACUACUCCCUCAGAUUCCCCUCCAGACCUGCUUACACUGUCUCAACCCCUCUCGCCUCAGCCUCCACACCUGGUUUCCAGCAACCCGCCCAAGCUUCCCCUGACCUGCACUCUAUCUCCCCCUGUGUUUCAAUAAAUACCUUGGUAUACUUUAUCCCAGUCUCCUCGUCUGAGUCUGCUCUUUGGUUCCCCUGUUCCACUCCGCAUAACAUUUUGCUGUUAUUUCAAGUUCAAAUUGUAGGGCUAUAUUUCGUACAUUACCUUCAGAAUGUAUUCAUACCCCUUGAUUUAUUCCACAAU